CUUUCUAUUUUUCUCUCCCUUUCCUUUAUUUUUUUGAUUUUUUUUCACUUUUUUCUCUCAUUCUCAUGCCCAUCUAUAGCCAAAAAUAGCACAUAGAAAUCAAGUGUAGCACCCUCUAUUUAUAGGAAAUAAGGGGCGACACCAUGGGAUGCCAACUCUUGGCAUCCCUUCAUUCUUACACACCUCCAAUAAAUUUUUUUAUGGAAUUCAAUGAGAUGGUGUAGAAACUAAAGAGGUUAAUCAAUAGAAGGACUCUUUUUCUACCUAGAAAAAUUAUAACACCAACUCUUGGCACAUGGAAAAGGAUUUAGCGUGAGAUUUCAAGAGUCCUUAACAAUUAAGACUCUUCCAUAAACUCAACGCAUAUAUGAAAGGUAAUCCAAUUUAAUUGGCAUUUAAACUCCUUGCUAGAGAAGGAAUCCUCCUUUUUCACACCAACAUAUCCCAAUGGUCAUCAGAUGGCACAUGGGAUAAAGAGAAACAUGUGGAAUAGGAAGAAUUUAAGUGUCCAAUGAGAAAUGAACUCUCCAUUUUCAUCGCCCAAAAAUAAGGGACAUCCAAAAUAAUUUGGCAUGGAGUUCCUUCCAAGAGAAGGACUCCUCCUCUUCUACACCCACACAUCCCAUAGCACCAUCAGAUGGCACACAAAAAUAAGGGACAUGUGGAACUUGAUAAUAAAAUUAAGAGUAGUAGAUGAGAAGG
rnacentral:lncRNA from 1 species